rnacentral:misc_RNA from 1 species
UCUCCGUUGGUGAACCAGCGGAGGGAUCAUUACCGAGUUUACAACUCCCAAACCCCUGUGAACAUACCAUUUGUUGCCUCGGAGGUGCCUGCUUCGGCAGCCCGCCAGAGGACCCAAACCCUUGAUUUUAUACAGUAUCUUCUGAGUAAAUGAUUAAAUAAAUCAAAACUUUCAACAACGGAUCUCUUGGUUCUG